AUCUCACUACUGUAUAUUUUAAUAUAAAUCUUCUUUUUAGUGAUUCUUUGUUACUGUCAUCAUGCCUAUUGCUUCAACGGUUGUCGUAUCCCAAUGGGCAUCGUUUUCUAGUAAAUUCAGUUCUUCACAUGCAGCACGAUAUGUUGGAAAUAUUGUACCAUUAACAGUUCGUAGUGACUCAAAUGAUUUUCGCCCACACACAUUUACCAGCAAUAACCGCAAAUAGAAGCAUUCAUCAUUCUCUGGAUGUAUAUAUACGACCCAGAGCAUCAGUAGAACGUACAUACGGAUAAUCAGGAACCGCAUCGCCUUGCUUCCGUCUUUGAAAAUUCUUCGAUGAAGCAUUGCAAGUGUAAUAACGUGGCAUCUCCGAGUAAAGCAAAGUUCGUGCAAACGUAUCGCUUUGGCAGAUCGCAAAAAAACUGGUCAAUGUUGUCGCUGGAGGUGUUUCAGCACUUUGAAUAGCAUUUGAAGCUGUGAAAUAUACUCUUUGACCAUUCUCCAAAUGCACAACAGUUGGAUGACGUUCGUGAAUAGGGAAUGCGAAUAUUCGCCAAAUCGCUUCAUUGCAGAUUACAUACCGACCAACUUGAUAGCGCUCAAUUUCAUAUUUCGGAGGGUUGGGUGCCAAAAACUGCCAUAUCGCUGCCUUUCGUGACAUAUUUGCAGAUAUGUUUUAUGGACUUUAUUGAAUUGCAAUACUCAACCUUACAAUGUGUCUUGAACGUUUUGGAAAGAAGUGGCAAAUAUGAAACAAUCCAACUGUUGUCGACCACGAAAUCAAUUAAUUUAACUUUUGUUGUGAUAGUCCGACCGUUGUUAUCGGGUGAUCGACGCCUAUACAGUGGAUAACCAUCGUUGCCUGUGACAGUCUCUGCCGUUAAUUUUCGUGGAUAUCGUUUGGAACAUUUGCCAUCGACCAUGCAAGGUGAAUUGGAAUUGAUGGGGCCACACGGUCCAUGAAUCAUAUUUGUGAUUAUGACAUUAUGUAGGUCUGGAUCGGUUUCGUCAUCGGGAAUUUCAGCAUAUAUGAUAUCAUCUAUUUGUUCUGGUUGAAUUCCUUCCACUAACCAAAUAAGAUUAUGUGCGUGCGGCUGGCCUCGUUUUUGCCAUUCGAUUGAAUACAUCCAACAUCGAGUAUCUCCAAACACGCGUUGUUUAACAAUAUACUCGUAGUUCAUCAUUGAGCGCAUUUUUUGCCUGAAUACACGUGUUGUGAUAUUUUGAUCACUUGAUGUUUGUCCAGGAAGCAGUAAUUAAACAAUUUCUUUCCAUUUUGGAUUACAGGUAAAAGUAAUAAAGAGAUCUGGCCGACCAUAAUCUAUAUAAAUAAAAGAAAGUCGACUUAGUUACUACACUUAUAACUAAAGAACGGCUUAUCAAAUUUAGCUAAAAAUUGGUGGAGAGGUAGCUUAGGGCCAGGAGAAGGUGCUUCGUCCCUCCAUUGUCGAUCCACCAUCCUGUAUCUGCCGAAGAACUGGUCUCCAUUUGAAGCAUAUCUUUAUCGGUGACACCCAAGACUACAUUGGUACUCACAGUGUUGCCCUGAGGAAUACUCUUCUUCGGUCGUCCAUCAGAAAUCCACUUCUGACAUUGUGUCUUCCAAUGUCCUUUUUGCUUGCAAUAAUGACAAUUGUCAUUUUUCCUGGACUUCCUAAUAGGUUUUAUUUUUGCACUUCUUGCGAAUAAAGCAUCUACGGGAGCAUCUUCUGUGACCUUUUUAAAAUUUGGGUGAUUAACUCUUCAACCGUCUUAUCAUCAUCUUUUGAAAAUAGUGUUUUGGGCAGUGCAUUGCAGUGCUAUGUGUAUGCUUUGAACUAAGUGUAGCAGUGGCGCUAUCUAGCUUAGAGGGUUGUGAUGAGGGUUGUUAAGUUUGUUAUUUAGUAUAAGUUUUUUAUGUAUUGCGUCGCCACUCGUACUUCCUGCGCGACGCCAUGAUGGGCCGCUGAGAGGGAGUAUGAGGGUGCAAAUAAAAGGGCCAGCCGAGAGCGUCUCGGUCUUGUUUCCAUCGAAUCGUCA